AAUCAACGCUGGCGGCGUGCCUCAGACAUGCAAGUCGAACGAUUAAAGCUCCCUUCGGGGAGUGCAUAAAGUGGCGCACGGGUGAGUAACACGUAAGUAAUCUACCUUCGAGUGGGGAAUAACGUUCGGAAACGAACGCUAAUACCGCAUAAUGCAGCGGCAUCUAUGAUGACAGUUGUUAAAGAUUUAUCGCUUGAAGAGGAGCUUGCGGCAGAUUAGCUAGUUGGUAAGGUAAUGGCUUACCAAGGCUACGAUCUGUAUCCGGUCUAAGAGGACGGUCGGACACACUGACACUGAAUAACGGGUCAGACUCCUACGGGAGGCAGCAGUCGGGAAUUUUGGGCAAUGGGCGAAAGCCUGACCCAGCAACGCCGCGUGAAGGAUGAAGUUUUUCGGAAUGUAAACUUCGUAAGAAUAGGAAGAAUAAAUGACGGUACUAUUUGUAAGGUCCGGCUAACUACGUG
rnacentral:rRNA from 1 species